UAUACUUUAGAGCUAUAAUCAUAAUUAUAAAAUUAAAAUUAUUACUUUCAAAUCCACCUUCUAACCAGUUUUCAGCCAAUUAUCCAUAUAAAUAAAUUUAUUGUAACCCAUUUCUUCUAAUUUAUAAGCUGCACCUUGAUUUGAUUUAUUAUAUAAUAAUAAAUUUUGAAUAUUGAAACUUCUUAUAAAAUAUUCAACUACAACGAUAUACAAGCUAAUAAAACAAGUACAAUUAAUCGUGGACUAUCGAUUACAGAACAGGUUCCUCUGAAAAGACUAAAAUACCGCCAAAUUUUUUAACUUUCAAGAUCAUAUCUAAUACUAAUUUAGUUCAAUUUUUUAUAUUUUU
rnacentral:rRNA from 1 species